rnacentral:rRNA from 1 species
AACGUAGGAGGCGAGCGUUAUCCGGAUUUACUGGGCGUAAAGCGCGUGCAGGCGGUUUCUUAAGUCGGACGUGAAAGCUCCUGGCUCAACUGGGAGAGGUCGUUCGAAACUAGGGAACUUGAGGAUGGUAGAGGAGAGUGGAAUUCCCGGUGUAGUGGUGAAAUGCGUAGAUAUCGGGAGGAACACCAGUGGCGAAGGCGGCUCUCUGGGCUAUUCCUGACGCUAAGACGCGAAAGCUAGGGGAGAGAACGGGAUUAGAUACCCCCGUA